UACGGAAGGCAGCAGUGGGGAAUAUUGCACAAUGGGCGCAAGCCUGAUGCAGCCAUGCCGCGUGUAUGAAGAAGGCCUUCGGGUUGUAAAGUACUUUCAGUCGUGAGGAAGGUGUUAAGGUUAAUAACCUUAGCAAUUGACGUUAGCGACAGAAGAAGCACCGGCUAACUCCGUGCCAGCAGCCGCGGUAAUACGGAGGGUGCGAGCGUUAAUCGGAAUUACUGGGCGUAAAGGGCACGCAGGCGGUUAAUUAAGUUGGAUGUGAAAUCCCCGGGCUUAACCUGGGAAUGGCAUUCAAGACUGGUUAGCUAGAGUCUUGUAGAGGGGGUAGAAUUCCAUGUGUAGCGGUGAAAUGCGUAGAGAUGUGGAGGAAAUACCGGUGGCGAAGGCGGCCCCCUGGACAAAGACUGACGCUCAUGUGCGAAAGCGUGGGGAGCAAACAGGGAUUAGAUACC
rnacentral:rRNA from 1 species